rnacentral:lncRNA from 1 species
CCUUCACAUAGUAAUCACUUGUUAAAUCGUUUCAGUAAUGUCUGACUCUUCAUGGUCCUGUGUGGAGUUUCUUUUGGCAAAGAUAAUAGAGUGGUUUACCAUUUCCUUCUCCCAAUCGUUUUACAAAUAAGGAACUGAGGCAAAAAUGGUUAAGUCAUUUGUCAAGGGUCUCAGCUAGUAAAGAGUCAGGCUGGAUUUGAAUUCAUGAAGAGUCUUCCUGAUUCUGAACCCAGUGCUGAACCCACCAUACCACCUACUUACUUAAGUGAUUAAGAAAUCACUUAGUAAACUGACUGACUGAAAGGAUAAGAGUUAAGAAUGACUAUGAGGUUCCAAAUCCGGCAUUGUUAAAGGAACUUGGAACACUCAAUAGCAAAAGGGAAGCAUCAGUAAGGGCUAAGUUAUGUGGGUUAACCUGGAUCAGAAAUAAUAAAUAAUAUUUUGGACAUAUUGAAUUGAAGAUGACUAUGGAACUUUAAUAGAUAGUUGAUGAUGUGAGGCUUUACUCAGGAGAAAGAUCAGAAUUUGAAGAGGAAGGCAUUGUUAUUACAAUGAUAAAUGAACUCAUUCUAGGUGGUUUUUAAACUGGGCUUGAAGUCAGAGAAACUAAUGAAAGAAGUGAAGGGAGAGAUUAUUCCAGGCAUGGAGAAGAGCCAGUACAAAGGUCCAAUCUGCAUGUUACAUUCUCAUCAUAUUCUAAGCGACUUCGUGUAGCUGCACUUACAAGGAGGAGUUUGGAGUCAUUAAAGAAGUAUCACAAUUUUCAAAAGGCAAUGUAUUCCACUCACUGUAUCCUGUUUAAUUUGACUUUCAACUCAUUGAUCAUUUGUUCUUCUUGAACUAAUCAUAGUGUUGCAAUCAGAACAUUGUCAAACAGGAGUAUCUGGAGGAUCUUUUGUCUAUUUGAACUUGGCAGGAAAUUUUCCAGUUUCCAUAGUUCCUUUGUGCAUGUUAUGCAAAUAUUUGUCUCUGUUAUACUUCACAUGAUAUUAGUAAUUAAAGGUGGA